rnacentral:rRNA from 1 species
UAGGGUUUGAUUCUGGCUCAGAACGAACGCUGGCGGCAGGCCUAACACAUGCAAGUCGAGCGCGCCUUCGGGCGAGCGGCGGACGGGUUAGUAACGCGUGGGAACGUGCCCAGAUCUACGGAAUAGCCACUGGAAACGGUGAGUAAUACCGUAUACGCCCUUAGGGGGAAAGAUUUAUCGGAUUUGGAUCGGCCCGCGUUAGAUUAGGUAGUUGGUGGGGUAACGGCCUACCAAGCCUACGAUCUAUAGCUGGUUUUAGAGGAUGAUCAGCAACACUGGGACUGAGACACGGCCCAGACUCCUACGGGAGGCAGCAGUGGGGAAUCUUGGACAAUGGGGGAAACCCUGAUCCAGCCAUGCCGCGUGAGUGAAGAAGGCCCUAGGGUCGUAAAACUCUUUCGCCUGUGAUGAUAAUGACAGUAGCAGGUAAAGAAACCCCGGCUAACUCCGUGCCAGCAGCCGCGGUAAUACGGAGGGGGUUAGCGUUGUUCGGAAUUACUGGGCGUAAAGCGCACGUAGGCGGAUUAGAAAGUUAGAGGUGAAAUCCCGGGGCUCAACCCCGGAACUGCCUUCAAAACUACUAGUCUAGAGUUCGAGAGAGGUGAGUGGAAUUCCGAGUGUAGAGGUGAAAUUCGUAGAUAUUCGGAGGAACACCAGUGGCGAAGGCGGCUCACUGGCUCGAUACUGACGCUGAGGUGCGAAAGUGUGGGGAGCAAACAGGAUUAGAUACCCUGGUAGUCCACACCGUAAACGUUGAAUGCCAGUCGUCGGGUAGUAUACUAUUCGGUGACACACCUAACGGAUUAAGCAUUCCGCCUGGGGAGUACGGUCGCAAGAUUAAAACUCAAAGGAAUUGACGGGGGCCCGCACAAGCGGUGGAGCUUGUGGUUUAAUUCGAAGCAACGCGCAGAACCUUACCAACCCUUGACAUACUCGUCGUCGCUCCAGAGAUGGAGCUUUCAGCUAGGCUGGACGAGAUACAGGUGCUGCAUGGCUAUCGUCAGCUCGUGUCGUGAGAUGUUCGGUUAAGUCCGGCAACGAGCGCAACCCACAUCCCUAGUUGCCAGCAGGUUAAGCUGGGCACUCUAUGGAAACUGCCCGUGAUAAGCGGGAGGAAGGUGUGGAUGACGUCAAGUCCUCAUGGCCCUUACGGGUUGGGCUACACACGUGCUACAAUGGCACCUACAGUGGGUUAAUCCCCAAAAGGUGUCUCAGUUCGGAUUGUCGUCUGCAACUCGACGGCAUGAAGUCGGAAUCGCUAGUAAUCGCGUAACAGCAUGACGCGGUGAAUACGUUCCCGGGCCUUGUACACACCGCCCGUCACACCAUGGGAGUUGGUUCUACCCGACGGCCGUGCGCUAACUUUUGAGGCAGCGGACCACGGUGGGAUCAGCGACUGGGGUGAAGUCGUAACAAGGUAGCC